AGUGAACGCUGGCGGUAGGCCUAACACAUGCAAGUCGAACGGCAGCACAGUAAGAGCUUGCUCUUACGGGUGGCGAGUGGCGGACGGGUGAGGAAUACAUCGGACUCUACUUUUUCGUGGGGGAUAACGUAGGGAAACUUACGCUAAUACCGCAUACGACCUACGGGUGAAAGCAGGGGAUCUUCGGACCUUGCGCGAUUGAAUGAGCCGAUGUCGGAUUAGCUAGUUGGCGGGGUAAAGGCCCACCAAGGCGACGAUCCGUAGCUGGUCUGAGAGGAGGAUCAGCCACACUGGAGCUGAGACACGGUCCAGACUCCUACGGGAGGCAGCAGUGGGGAAUAUUGGAAAAUGGGCGCAAGCCUGAUCCAGCCAUACCGCGUGGGUGAAGAAGGCCUUCGGGUUGUAAAGCCCUUUUGUGGGGAAAGAAAAGCAGCAGGUUAAUACCCCGCUGUUCGGACGGUACCCAAAGAAUAAGCACCGGCUAACUUCGU
rnacentral:rRNA from 1 species